rnacentral:rRNA from 1 species
CCCUUAGAUGUUCUGGGCAGCACGCGCGCUACAAUGGUCUUCGCAAACGGAUGCAUUCUCGAAGGAGAAUGCCAAUCUUGGAAUCUAUGCCUUGGUCGGGACAGUUGCUUGCAAUUUUUCGACUCGAACCAGGAAUUCCUUGUAAUCGUGAUUCAUCACAUCACGAUGAAUACGUCCCUGCCCUUUGUACACACCGCCCGUCGCUCCUACCGAUCGAAGCGUUAGGUGAAUUGUUUUGAUCGAUAAGAUUUGACUAUGGUCAACUCUCGUUGUGAAAUUCUGUGAAUCUGACUGUUUAGAGGAAGGAAAAGUCGUAACA